rnacentral:snRNA from 1 species
AGCUUUGCGCAGUGGCAGUAUCGUAGCCAAUGAGAUUUAUCCGAGGCGCGAUUAUUGCUAAUUGAAACCAUGAAAGACACCAAAGAAACAAAGGAGAAAGCAGGAACCUGGAGGAAGGAACAAUGCAAAGAGAAGACAUCCUCCCUCUAAAUAUGUGUAACAUCAUCAGUGAA